rnacentral:lncRNA from 1 species
CGCCGGUUUCUGGGAAAUUUUCAAACUCCUUGUUCUCCAUCAAUUCUUAACCAUUUUUUAUGAAAUUUAUACCAAAAUGAAGCCCUAAGCAUGUAGAAUCACGAUGUACUAAUUUAAGGCUAAAAAACACACGAAAUCUCACUGGAGAAAAUCCAAGAAAACCAGCCAACUUCGAACCCUACGAUCCUGACGUCCAAAACCUUCAAACUAAGUACUCCGAGCUUCCUUGGGACCUCACUAAGCUCCCCGUAGGCUGGGACCUCACUAAGCUCCCUGUAGGCUUAGAAUUCCCUGAAAACCAACAUUUCACAUGUGCAUGAACAGUGACAUUAAACUGGGUUACGG